CAUGAAAUUAUUUCCGUUUUUCUUCGCAUUCUUUUUUACCUUCCCCUGAAUGGGAGGCAAUUCGUCGUGUGAUAAAGAAUGCGAAGACGAACAAACAGGCCUCCCCCAGCGGGGAGGCCUUUUUUAU
rfam:Buttiauxella agrestis ATCC 33320 GBAG.assembly.053, whole genome shotgun sequence.